UUGAAUUUUAAUGAAGAGUUUGGUUGUAGCUGGCCCAUUCAUUUGGGCAUGUGCACACCUUCCUCUUUCAUCCCACACACACCUGUGAACCUGUGAGACAGAGAUGGGGAAUUUACUUGCUGCUUUUUGGAAUACAAAGGCAAUAGGUUAUUGGACCCCCCCUCUGUCUACUCAAUUAAUAUAAACUCAAUUUAUUUUAAAACGAAUGUAAUGGAUGUAAGCACAUCUCAUAC
rnacentral:misc_RNA from 1 species